ACGCAAUAGAUACCCUGGUAGUCCACGCCCUAAACGAUGUCUACUAGUUGUCGGGUCUUAAUUGACUUGGUAAACGCAGCUAAACGCGUGAAGUAGACCGCCUGGGGAGUACGGUCGCAAGAUUAAAACUCAAAGGAAUUGACGGGGACCCGCACGAGCGGUGGAUGAUGUGGAUUAAAUUCGAUGCAACGCGAAAAACCUUACCUACCCUUGACAUGGAUGGAAUCCCUGAGAGAUUGGGGAGUGCCCGAAAGGGAACCAUUACACAGGUGCUGCAUGGCUGUCGUCAGCUCGUGUCGUGAGAUGUUGGGUUAAGUCCCGCAACGAGCGCAACCCUUGUCAUUAGUUGCUACGAAAGGGCACUCUAAUGAGACUGCCGGUGACAAACCGGAGGAAGGUGGGGAUGACGUCAAGUCCUCAUGGCCCUUAUGGGUAGGGCUUCACACGUCAUACAAUGGUACAUACAGAGGGCCGCCAACCCGCGAGGGGGAGCUAAUCCCAGAAAGUGUAUCGUAGUCCGGAUUGUAGUCUGCAACUCGACUGC
rnacentral:rRNA from 1 species